rnacentral:rRNA from 1 species
CCUACGGGAGGCAGCAGUGGGGAAUAUUGGGCAAUGGGCGCAAGCCUGACCCAGCAACGCCGCGUGAAGGAAGAAGGCUUUCGGGUUGUAAACUUCUUUUCUCAGGGACGAAGAAAGUGACGGUACCUGAGGAAUAAGCGACGGCUAACUACGUGCCAGCAGCCGCGGUAAUACGGAGGGGGCAGGCGUUAGGCGGAUUUGUUGGGUGUAAGGGGCGAGUAGGCGGGAGCGGAAGUCAGAUGUGAAAGCCCGGGGCUCAACCGUGGGACUGCAUUUGAAACUGUGUUUCUUGAGUGCUGGAGAGGCAAUCGGAAUUCCGGGUGUAGCGGUGAAAUGCGUAGAUAUACGGAGGAACACCAGUGGCGAAGGCGGAUUGCUGGACAGUAACUGACGCUGAGGCGCGAAAGCGUGGGGAGCAAACAGGAUUAGAUACCCCAGUAGUC